CUGAAGUACACCUGGUAAUGUAUAUCCAUUCUUGGUACUAAGGCUCUGGGACAUCACAUCAUGGACAAGGUGCUGAUGUUACAGUGAGCGAUGUACUCAACAACACCGUUGAAGAGAAUUGUGGAAGGAUGCCUGCCUUUACAACCCUGCACCCUGCUCUGAGAAUGUCUGCGGAGUGACCCCAUCGAGAUGCCCAUGUGGAGAGGAGCUGAGGCCCCCAGGAAUUCACUGUGCUGUUAAUUGCGGUGACUUCCCAGACACAGUCUGAUCACUACUGUUGCCCCUUCUGAAUACUCCUGGAGAAGUGAAAACUGUCCCCAUAGGACCCUGGGCUAACUAACACCCACUGACUCCCAGGAAGCUGCAAUAUUCCAAGAUGGCAUCUAUAAACCAAGAUAU